rnacentral:lncRNA from 1 species
GGCCUCCGCCUCUGAAGGCAAAGGGCCUCGACCGUCGGAAGUACUGUCGGUUCCAUCAGAGCCACGGCCACGACACCGAGCGGUGCAUCCAGUUGAAGGAUGAGAUCGAAAAUCUCAUCCGCCGGGGGUACCUCGGCAAAUUCCGGAAGGGUCCGCCGACCCGACCGAUUGCCGAUCGACGCCCCCAGCCGACUGAAGAGGCGCCGACUAACCAGCCGACGGCCGGAGUC